UACUCCCGCCGGCGACCGGCGCACGGGUGAGUAACACGUAUGAAACCUGCCCGUAGCAGGGGGAUAAGCGGAAGAAAUUCCGUCUAAUACCGCGUAACAACCCGAGGAGGCAUCUCCUCGGGUUUAAAGGAAGCGAUUCCCGGCUACGGAUGGUCAUGCGUCGCAUUAGCUAGUUGGCGGGGUAACGGCCCACCAAGGCGACGAUGCGUAGGGGUUCUGAGAGGAAGGUCCCCCACACUGGUACUGAGACACGGACCAGACUCCUACGGAAGGCAGCAG
rnacentral:rRNA from 1 species